rnacentral:Y_RNA from 1 species
GUGGCGAAUGCCCGCGGGACUACAUGAACUUGAGUGUCGCCGGUUCGACUCCGGCCGGGGCUUCGGCCCCGUAGCUCAGCGGUUAGAGCAUCAGGCUGUCUCGCACCCACUCGUCGCCACGAC